rnacentral:lncRNA from 10 species
GGCUUCACUGGGUGGAUACCGCACGUGGGCCACAGGUGGAGCUGCCUACCAGUCCCGCACAGCGCGCCCGCACUCCUCAGCCCUUGGGCGGUGGAUGGGACUGGGCACCGUGGAGUAGGGAGCGCCGCUCGUCAGGGAAGGUGGGGCCACGCAGGAACCCACGGCGGCAGGCCGGGAGGAGGCUCAGGCAUGGCGGGCUGCAGGUCCCAAGCCCUGCUCUGCGGGGAGGCAGCUGCGGCCCGGCGAGAAAUCAAGCACAGCAGCUGCUGGCCCAGGUGCUAAGCCCCUCACUGCUCGGAGCUUGUGGGCCGGCCGUCCGCUCAGAGUGCGGGGCGCACCGAGCCCACGCCCACCUGGAACUUGCGCUGGCCCGCAAGCGUCGCGCGCAGCCCUGGUUCCCGCCCGCGCCUCUCCCUCAACACCUCCCCGCAAGCUGAGGGAGCCGGCUGCGGCCUUGGCCGGCCCAGAAAGGGGCUCCCACAGUGCAGCGGCGGGCUGAAGACCUCCUCAAGCGCGGCCAGAGUGGGAGCCAAGGCCGAGGAGGCGCCGAGAGCGAGCGAGGGCUGUGAGGGUUGCCAGCAGGCUGUCACCUUUCACUAUGAGGGGCAUGAAGAAGGAGGAAAAGGAUGCAGGAAAGAAUUUAAGAGGCAAAGUGGAUGUGAUAAAGGAACGAGAAGAUCAUGAGAAAAGAUGAAAAAGAGAACAGUGACUGACCCAUGUCAUGAAGCAUCAGUUUCUAAACUUUGCUGUAUGCAGGCUCAAUGACUCUCCAAGAUAUGCAGAGCUUUGGGCCAGGAUCCUACAGCCACGGGUCAUGCAGAGCCAGUUGGCCACAUCCUUUGGGCCAAAUUUGGUCCUAACCAGGUCUUACCACGGUAACUGCUAACCAGUCCAUCUUCAGUUAAUAUUUCAUGCGUAAGAUGUUUCAUGAAGUAACUGAAUGGGCUAAUGGGUUGUUCACUGGAUAAGACUCCCAGAUACUCCCUUUCAUGCCAUUCCCCAGAAUUCCUUCACCUCCCAGUGCUGUCUGUAAGGGUGAAGAUACUCCAUUUUGCCCCAUGCUCUUUGCUGUGCCCCAGAUAGGCUCAAACAUUUUUCCCUUUUGGGGAUUUUGCAGGUAGGAAUUGUUGAACAUCUUACCAUUUAAUCCAGAAGUUAUGUCCUUUAAGGAAUCGACCCUGAGCCUGUGAGUUUUACUUUGGGUUGGGGGUGAAGGAGUGGACCUUGCAGCAUUCAAGGUCAUCCAAGAUCAUCCAGUUAAGGCCCCUAAGGUCACUACGGGGGGAAAAGCCUGGUGAGGGAAGAGAAAGCAUUAGGGGGAGCUGCACCGUGCUGAGAAAUAACACCACACAGAAGUCUGUGUUCUAAUCUCAGCUCUGCUUUGCAUUACUGUGUGACCUGGAGCUGAUCACAGCCCUCUGAGUCUUAAAGGGGUUGGACAAGGCCAACUAAACAUUAGAAACACCUGAAAGUGCUGGUUAAAAGGAAGAAUGCAUGAGCUUCACUCCAGAUUUACUAUAUCAGAAUUUCCAGGGUCAGGGUCCAAGAAUCUGCAUGUUUAAUACGCUUUCCACAUGAUUUUUCCCCCCUCUGGACUUAAGAAAACAAUGGGCAAGUCAGCUCAUGAAGAACUUUUCAGAUAUUCAGACUAUUAUUCUGAGAGAGAAAAUAUUGGCAGAGAACAGAUGGGAUUUUUCUCAAGGAAAAGAAAUGGAAAUCCUACAUCUUGCAAGAAAUAGAAAAAAAUAAAUAAACUGUUUGAAGAAGAAUCACAUCAGGCUGGCAGGAGAGAGCCUGCGGCUCGGUGUCUGACCCAGAAUGUUAAAGCCAGCCUGGCUUGGCUCCAGGAUAAAGGACACUCUGUCAGCCUCUCCACAUUGAUUCAUCUCCCCAGCCCCAAGAUCAGGAGAGCAUUCUGUUCCUUGAAGCAUUUUAUGACUGUAAGUCAGAAGUGCUGCAGUUUUAAUAAAAAGCUGUAUUGUCCUGAUCUUGUGCAAUAUACUGAACUAUCAUUUUCCAACUGUUGGCUUGCAUACUGGUUUGUGUGAGUAAGCCCGUCCAUCCACAUCACUAAAAGAUAGUAGUAGUAACAACAAUGAC